AGCAGGGUGGCCGAGUUUAGGUGGUGGGCUGUAAACCUAUUUACGGGAAUAUAAUUCUCUCCUGCUA